UACGGAGGGGGCUAGCGUUGUUCGGAAUUACUGGGCGUAAAGCGCACGUAGGCGGCUUUGUAAGUUAGAGGUGAAAGCCCGGAGCUCAACCCCGGAAUUGCCUUUAAGACUGCAUCGCUUGAAUCCGGGAGAGGUGAGUGGAAUUCCGAGUGUAGAGGUGAAAUUCGUAGAUAUUCGGAAGAACACCAGUGGCGAAGGCGGCUCACUGGACCGGUAUUGACGCUGAGGUGCGAAAGCGUGGGGAGCAAACAGG
rnacentral:rRNA from 1 species